GAUAGCUGUCAAACCCGUUGUAUAACCUCAAAGUAACAGUAUUACGUACAAAUAUUAAUAUUCAAUAAUUCUUAUCAUGUCGCUUCUGCGUGAAAUAGUGCUUGAAACAAGUUCCUCAGAAAUUGAGAUUGAGGUGGAGUAAGUACGGAAUUUACGAAAUAUGAAGAGAAAGGUGUACUUUCAGAGAACUGAUAGAUUCGCAGGUUCCAGGUCUCAAAAAUGUGGCUCGUGUGUUGGCUUUAAAACUAGAACCUUUCUUACUGCCUCCAACGACGAAAAAUUUUGCAAUCACUCAAAUACAGAAAUAUAUCAAUGAAAAUAAGGACAGAACUAAGAAGAGUGCAGCCCAUUAUUGUACGCAUAGCUGCAUAAUAUAUUAUGUAAACAAAAUAGAGACCCCGUGCUGUACCACCAGCUAGGUUUUUUAUGAUGAUUCAUCAUCUGAUGAAGAGGAACCUGUCUAUGCAGUUAACAGCAAUGAUGAGCAUAAUCGAAGGAUGUCAAUAAAUAAUUAUUUUAAUAGAUUA